UGGACACUCGGACAGUGUGUAGAGAUUCACACAAUCUAUAAUGCCUGCCCAAGUUUGCUUUCCCUUUGUAAGCCUGGUGCUCAUGCGUCUCUCUCCCCAAAACCAAGCGGGAAAAAUGGCCACCGAUGAAAAUAGUUCUCUACUAGAGAAGGACGACAUAGAGGAAGACAGAAAAUCCAAAGGAAAAACUCAACAACAUGUCGCCACUGAUUCCUAUUCACAAGAUAGAAACCAUAGCAAACACAUAAGGGAUAAGCAGUUAGAUAAAUGCUCCGAUUUCGAUUCGGGAGAAGAAGAAGAAGAAGAUGAG
rnacentral:misc_RNA from 1 species